AAAAAUAAUAUCAGCUUGUUCUGGUUUUGUCUAGGACAGAGUUAAUUUUACUCCUAGUAGCUGGUAUGGUGCUAUGUUUGGGAUUUAGGAUGAGAAUACUGUUGAUAUCACACUGAUGGUUUAAUUGUUGCAGACCAGUGCUUACACUAAGCCAAAGACUUUUCAGCUUCUAGCUCUGUCCUGCAAGUGGGCAGGCUUGGGGUGCAGCAGGAGCUGGGAGGGCACAGACCCAGGACAGCUGACCCAAACUGGACAAAGGGAUAUUCUGUACCAUCUGAUGUCUUGCUGAACAAUUAAUAUGGGGGG